CUGAUUUUGCGUUACAUUUUUUACGAGCGCCGCCGUUUCCAAUAGCGACAUCGGUAUUGUCGAUGAGAUAAUAAAUCCAACGACAUACAUUCUGUCUGCCUCAGUAAAAAUAUCAUUCCCCCACUGUUCCUUCUCGAAUUCUCAUUCAUACUCUCAACUCUCUACUCUCUACUCUCUCUCUCUCUCUCUCUCGUUCUCUUGCUCUGCGUGUGGACUAUGGUACAAAGGUGUCUCGGGGCUCUAAAAAUAAAUGUGCCUGCUGUGUCAAUGGGCGACAUUGGGACUUUGGGGGACUAUAGAAUCGUUGGUGGGGUCUGGAGCAAGGGGCGUUGUACAUACCGGCACAAAAGUGAGGUUGGAAUCGUCGCUGGAUGCUGCACUGAACUGAACCAAACCGAACUGAACUGAACCGUAGUGACGCUGGGGGAUGACAAGCUGAAGAUGGCGGAGUAGAAUUCACUAAUUUCGUGCAGCUUCUUAUUUCUUAUUUUCGGCUUACUUAUUUGUUUGUAAAUUUCUCUUUUCUCUUUAUUUGAAUCUUCCUUUUAUGCUUAUGCCAUUCAUAAAACAAUGAGACACACACACGAAUAUCACACGCGACGCACGGGCAAAAA